CCGACUAGAGCUUUGAUCCUGGCUCAGAACGACGUUAGCGGCGCGGCCUAACACAUGCAAGUCGAACGGCGAUUUGGGGGGCAACUCCAGUCCGAGUGGCGCACGGGUGAGUAACACGUAGUAAUCUACCCCCCGAGUGGUGGAUAACCCUCCGAAAGGAGAGCUAAUACAGCAUGAGACCACGGCUUCGAAAGGAGCUGAGGUCAAAGCGGAGGAUCGCAAGACUUCGCGCUUGGGGAUGAGCCUGCGGCCCAUCAGGUAGUUGGCGGGGUAAUGGCCCACCAAGCCAUAGACGGGUAGCUGGUCUGAGAGGAUGAUCAGCCACACUGGAACUGAGACACGGUCCAGACUCCUACGGGAGGCAGCAGUGGGGAAUCUUGCGCAAUGGACGAAAGUCUGACGCAGCGACGCCGCGUGGGUGAUGAAGGCCUUCGGGUUGUAAAGCCCUGUGGGGAGGGACGAAUAAGUUCCGGUCAAUACCCGGAGCGAUGACGGUACCUCCUUAGCAAGCACCGGCUAACUCUGUGCCAGCAGCCGCGGUAA
rnacentral:rRNA from 1 species